rnacentral:rRNA from 1 species
GUCAGGCUCAGAUUAACGCUGGCGGCAGGCCUAACACAUGCAAGUCGAACGGUAGCACAGAGGAGCUUGCUCCUUGGGUGACGAGUGGCGGACGGGUGAGUAAUGUCUGGGAAACUGCCCGAUGGAGGGGGAUAACUACUGGAAACGGUAGCUAAUACCGCAUAACGUCGCAAGACCAAAGAGGGGGACCUUCGGGCCUCUUGCCAUCGGAUGUGCCCAGAUGGGAUUAGCUAGUAGGUGGGGUAACGGCUCACCUAGGCGACGAUCCCUAGCUGGUCUGAGAGGAUGACCAGCCACACUGGAACUGAGACACGGUCCAGACUCCUACGGGAGGCAGCAGUGGGGAAUAUUGCACAAUGGGCGCAAGCCUGAUGCAGCCAUGCCGCGUGUAUGAAGAAGGCCUUCGGGUUGUAAAGUACUUUCAGCGAGGAGGAAGGUGUUGUGGUUAAUAACCGCAGCAAUGACGUACUCGCAGAAGA